UACAGAGGGUGCAAGCGUUGCUCGGAAUUAUUGGGCGUAAAGGGUAGGUAGGUGGUCUCAUUUGUCUGGGGUGAAAGCCUUGAGCUUAACUCAAGAAGUGCCUCGGAAACGGUGAGACUAGAGUAUUGGAGAGGGUCGUGGAAUUCCCGGUGUAGCGGUGAAAUGCGUAGAGAUCGGGAGGAACACCAGUGGCGAAGGCGGCGACCUGGACAAUAACUGACACUCAACUACGAAAGCGUGGGGAGCAAACAGG
rnacentral:rRNA from 1 species